CUGAAAAACUGGCAGUUAUUGGCGGUUACAUACUUCUCUCCUGCUCCGUAUUUCCAGCCGUAUUCCCAGCGUAGGUUAUGUACUACCACUCCCCUAAACAAUGACAGUUCCCCCUCAACACAUAAACCCUAAUCGCCUUCUUCUCCUGUAUACGAUCUUUUCCAAAUCGAUAUACUGUUACCAGCAUCAAUUGAUGCUUCUUCAAUCGUUCAUCAUCGACCAUCAUAUCUUCAACAGUUUUGAGCCAAUGGGAAUUUCACAAAUCAUCAAGUGUGCUCUUUUGGCAUUUACAAACUCGGUUCUCUUCGGUUACGCUAAGAAAAUCCAAUCUCAAUUACAAUUUUUUUUUCUAAAUUGCUUCAUUAAUUUGCAAUACCUUAAUCACAGUUAUCAUACAUUCACAAAAUUGGGUUCGAGAUUGAGCAGAAAGUGCCAAAGUUUUAAAACACAAUUUAUUAAUUUUGAGAAUUAUGUUGAAAAGAUUGAUUUUAGCAACAAUGGUCUCUCUGGAAUGCUUGUGUGCAGAUAUCGGGUAACGAGUGGAGAGGUGUUAUUCAUACGUGGUGAAAUUAUGUCUCUGGCUCAGGUAAUAAAAUGAAUUGCUACCAUUAGAAAACCAUAUUUCAUUAGUCAUGAUUAGAAUUUAUAUAUAAACCGAUAGGAGUCUAGGGCGGCUGGUAAAUUUGUGAACUAUCACUUUAUGAUAAUUUAAAUGUGCAGCUUUACUCUCGAACAUUGGCAUUUAUUUAUGGUCUAAAUAAUCGAUUCAGGUGGCGCGUUUUCUCUUAUCAUGUUUGCACAGUCUUUUUAUUAGUUUCAGUUUCUAAACGUGUGCAUAUAUUUGGUAAUAUGUUUGAUCUUUUUUUAAGGCUUUCGGCUAGCUACUGACCAUGCUCACAAAACAUUGCUCGAUUGGGUCAAAGAUAAUAAUAUAUAUGUGAGUUGUGAUUGUUGACAUCGGUUAUACCAACUCACCAUUUUCAUAAUGUGAUUAAGAAAAUAAACAGUUCAUAUUGUUGAAUAACCAUUCAUAAAUAUGCAAAUCCCAGUUGUAGUUAUGCUUAAUUGUAGGGUAUCUCUUUCUUAAUCCGGGUAUGUUAUGUGAUAAUGAUAGUCUGGCAGCGCUGUUAGCCAUGGAAUUGAAGCCAGAUCUUGCAUUGUUGAGUGGUAUGGUCUGGGUGUAGGAAUUUGCCUCGAUCUCGAUUAUUCUAAGUUCGAUUAAAUAAAGUUUUUAGGUCAUAACAGAUUUUUAGCGUAUGACAUGGCAGAUAUGGAAGAAUCAGUGACUCCUGUAUUUGCCUCCCUUCUCAAGUCUAGCAUUCUGGUUUUUCUUUUCAGAUCAAAGCUUCUUUUGGGGGCACUUGUGUAGUAACCAAGAACACAUACAAACUUGCAAGAACUCACAAGGCAUUCCAGGAGCAAUCUGAUCGACAAGGCAACUUCCAAGUGUUAUCUAGGCUUCUUUAGGACCUUUAAUAGGAGAUCCAGUAAAAGCUAUUUGUACUUGCUUGGUGGUAUACGGC